rnacentral:tRNA from 2 species
CGCGGCGUAGAGCAGUGGUAGCUCGGGAGGUUCAUUCCCUCCAGGUCGCAGGUUCGAGUCCUGCCGCCGCAA